AAGCUUUCUCCCACAAGUGUAGCACACAAAUUUUACUGUGUACCACGCGAAGAAAAUUUGUUAACAUUAUAAUUCUUCCCAUCUAAGUAAUCAUAAGAUGAUAGAACUGAAGUGAGCAUGCUGAUGAUGGAAUGUAAAAAAUUAGGAUCUGUGGUCUCCAGGCAACUGGAAACCUCCCAGAAUACAUGUCUGGUGUUCUGCUUAUUGUCAAGUAGACUCCAACAUCUGAUGUUCAGCUGCAUCAUAUCACCAGCUGUCUUCCUCUCCCUUUUUCCUCUUUCUCACUCAGCUCAUUCUUUCUCUGACUCCCUAUCCCUAUCCCCAUUUCCUUCCCCUCUCCUUCUUCCUCUCUUUCUUGUUCAUUUUCCUUAGGAACACAUAAUACAUGUUAUAUAUUUAAAUUGUAUAACCCACUUGGAACCAGGAAUUAGAGGAUUAGAAAUUACUUGGAGGAAUAUCAGUGAAAGGAGCACAGAAGUAAUUGGACAUCUCCAUGGAUGUAAAGGAUGUCAUGUUAGUAUCAAGAAAAAAAAGAGUCUACAAGUGAAAAGCACACCUGGGAGAUUGCCUGUGUCCAGGAUGUCGUCACUUCCCUGUUGAAGGAGGCCUGGGUAUACAUCCAACACUGCACACAAUGAUACAACUGGGUUAUAACAAAUUUACAUACUGAC